UGCAAACGGUGUGAAAAACUACAGCCAAG
rnacentral:piRNA from 1 species